GCAGUAGCUCAUUGGCAGAACAUCUGCUCUGCAUGCAGGAGGCCCCGGGUUCGAGCCCCAGCAGCAUCU